rnacentral:rRNA from 1 species
ACGGGUGAGUAAUGUCUGGGAAACUGCCCGAUGGAGGGGGAUAACUACUGGAAACGGUAGCUAAUACCGCAUAACGUCUUCGGACCAAAGUGGGGGACCUUCGGGCCUCACACCAUCGGAUGUGCCCAGAUGGGAUUAGCUAGUAGGUGGGGUAACGGCUCACCUAGGCGACGAUCCCUAGCUGGUCUGAGAGGAUGACCAGCCACACUGGAACUGAGACACGGUCCAGACUCCUACGGGAGGCAGCAGUGGGGAAUAUUGCACAAUGGGCGCAAGCCUGAUGCAGCCAUGCCGCGUGUAUGAAGAAGGCCUUCGGGUUGUAAAGUACUUUCAGCGGGGAGGAAGGCGAUGCGGUUAAUAACCGCGUCGAUUGACGUUACCCGCAGAAGAAGCACCGGCUAACUCCGUGCCAGCAGCCGCGGUAAUACGGAGGGUGCAAGCGUUAAUCGGAAUUACUGGGCGUAAAGCGCACGCAGGCGGUCUGUCAAGUCGGAUGUGAAAUCCCCGGGCUUAACCUGGGAACUGCAUUCGAAACUGGCAGGCUUGAGUCUCGUAGAGGGGGGUAGAAUUCCAGGUGUAGCG